AUACAGAGGGUGCAAGCGUUAAUCGGAAUUACUGGGCGUAAAGCGCGCGUAGGCGGUUUGGUCAGUCGGAUGUGAAAGCCCUGGGCUCAACCCAGGAAUUGCAUUCGAUACUGCCUGACUAGAGUAUGAUAGAGGGAAGUGGAAUUUCCGGUGUAGCGGUGAAAUGCGUAGAUAUCGGAAGGAACACCAGUGGCGAAGGCGACUUCCUGGGCUAACAUUGACGCUGAGGUGCGAAAGCGUGGGGAGCAAACAGCAUUAGAUACCCCGGUAGUCC
rnacentral:rRNA from 1 species